GACGAACGCUGGCGGCGCGCUUAACACAUGCAAGUCGAGCGAAGCGGCGGACUGGUGAGUAACACGUGAGUAACCUGCCUUAGACAUUGGGAUAGCCUCGGGCAACCGGUAUUAAUACCAAAUGGUCUAAGAUGGACUCGCGUCCCAUUAGCUAGUUGGUGGGUAACGGCCCACCAAGGCGACGAUGGGUAGCCGGACUGGGAGGGUGAACGGCCAAAUUGGAACUGAGAAACGGUCCAAACUCUACGGGAGGCAGCAGUGGGGAAUAUUGCACAAUGGAGGGAACUCUGAUGGAGCGAAGCCGCGUGAACGAAGAAGGCUUUCGAGUCGUAAAGUUCUUUUAUAUGGGAAGCGGUACCAUAAGAAAAAGCCCCGGCUAACUACGUGCCAGCCGCCGCGGUAAUUC
rnacentral:rRNA from 1 species